rnacentral:lncRNA from 1 species
CAAAGAAAUAAAGGUGAUCUUAUAUGCUGUUUGGGGGGAAUCCUCCUUUCUGUACCAGUCGAGAUUUUUUUCAGUUAAAACAGAGAAUGAGAAAGAAGGAAGAAAAACAGAAAUGAAGGAAUGAAGAAGGGAGGGAAUGAGGAAAGAAGGGAGAGUUAUUAACUUAAGUAGCAGGGGUAUUUUGGCUUCAGGUACAGCUUGAUGCAGGGGUUCAAAGCUAUCACUGGGACAAGAUUGAUUUAGUUUCAUCUUUCAACUCUGCCUGCUCCUUGAGAGUAGACUCUAUUUAUAGUCAAGCUCUCCGCUAGUAGAGGGAGCAGCAGAGAAAGCUCAUUGUCCAACCCACAGCUGUUUCCCCUUUGCUUCCUUUAUCAUAAAACCUCUCACCUGUGGCUGGGAACAGCCUCCUGAGGUAAAGACCACCUUUCCAUGCCUCUGUUGCAGUUAAGCAUGGUAGUGUGGCCAAUGGCAUACAAGCGGAAGAAGCCUCAUGAGCAAUUUUUCAGAAAGUUGUCCUUGAAGGAUCCCUCUUCACCAUCUUCCUUUUCCCUACAGCCUGGAAACUCAAGCAUCUGUCUGGAACCAUCUGUGUUAUCAUGAACGACAGAGCAAGAGAGAAACCAUGCUCUGCUGGCCAUGGAGUCACCACACAGCCUCCCUGCUUACUGCAGACUUCAUUCAUGUCACUACAGAAUACUGAGAGGAGUUCCCUGUGCUAUACAGCCGGUAUAUGUAUAUAUAAGAGAAUACUGCUGCUUCUGCUAAGGCGCUUCAGUCAUGUGUGACCCCACAGACGGCAGCCCACCAGGCUCCUCUGUCCCUGGGAUUCUCCAGGUAAGAAGUCUGGAGUGUGUUGCCAUUUCCUUCUCCAUAAGAGAAUACUACUCAGCCAUUAAAAAAAGAACAAAAUAAUAUCAUUUGCAGCAACAUGGAUGUACCUAGAGAUUGUCAUACUUAGUGAAGUAAGUCAGAGGAAAACAAAUAUCAUAUGAUAUCACUUAUAUGUGGAAUCUUUAAAAAUGGUACAAAUGAGCUUAUUUCUCAGUUUUAAUCAUUGCACUAUAAUUAUGUAAGAAGCUAGCAAUAGGGGAAGCUGAGUAAAGAGCAUAUAGGAACUCUGUUUGGUACACUUCUGGAAUCUCCAGAUAAAAAAUUUUAAAAUAAAUACAAAUACACAGGGAAUUAUACUCAAUAUUUUGUAAUAACCUAUAAGGGAAAAGGAUCUGAAAAUGAAUAGAUGUGUGUGUGUGUAUAACUGAACCACUAGGCUGUCUGUCUGAAACUAACAUGACAUUGUCAGU